GGGCUCAUAGUAUAAUGGUAAUAUUCAUCGUUCGCGUCGAUGAGAUUCGGGUUCGAUUCCCGAUGGGUCCA
rnacentral:tRNA from 1 species